rnacentral:rRNA from 1 species
UACGUAGGGGGCGAGCGUUGUCCGGAUUUAUUGGGCGUAAAGAGCUCGUAGGCGGCUUGGCAAGUCGGGUGUGAAACCUCCAGGCUCAACCUGGAGACGCCACUCGAUACUGCUAUGGCUAGAGUCCGGUAGGGGACCACGGAAUUCCCGGUGUAGCAGUGAAAUGCGUAGAGAUCGGGAGGAACAUCAGUUGCGAAGGCGGCUCUCUGGACCAGUACUGACGCUGAGGCACGAAGGCGUGGGGAGCAAACAGG